ACGAACGCUGGCAGCAUGCCUAACACAUGCAAGUCGAACGCGUGUAGCAAUACACGAGUGGCGGACGGGUGAGUAACGCGUGGGAACCUGCCCAAUGGUAGGGAAUAACUGCGGGAAACUGCAGCUAAUACCCUAUGCUCCCUACGGGGAAAAGNUUUAUCGCCAUUGGAGGGGCCCGCGUCGGAUUAGCUAGUUGGCGGGGUAACGCCCACCAAGGCUACGAUCCGUAGCUGGUCGAGAGGAUGAUCAGCCACACUGGGACUGAGAUACGGCCCAGACUCCUACGGGAGGCAGCAGU
rnacentral:rRNA from 1 species